rnacentral:rRNA from 1 species
UACGGAGGGUGCAAGCGUUAUCCGGAUUCACUGGGUUUAAAGGGUGCGUAGGUGGGCAGUUAAGUCAGUGGUGAAAUCUCUGGGCUUAACCCGGAAACUGCCGUUGAUACUAUCUGUCUUGAAUAUAGUGGAGGUGAGCGGAAUAUGUCAUGUAGCAGUGAAAUGCUUAGAUAUGACAUAGAACAUCGAUUGCGAAGGCAGCUCGCUACACUAUGAUUGACACUGAGGCACGAAAGCGUGGGGAUCAAACAGG